UACGUAGGGUGCGAGCGUUGUCCGGAAUUACUGGGCGUAAAGAGCUCGUAGGUGGUUUGUCGCGUCUGCUGUGAAAACCCGAGGCUCAACCUCGGGCCUGCAGUGGGUACGGGCAGACUAGAGUGCGGUAGGGGAGAUUGGAAUUCCUGGUGUAGCGGUGAAAUGCGCAGAUAUCGGGAGGAACACCGGUGGCGAAGGCGGUUCUCUGGGCCUUACCUGACGCUGAGGAGCGAAAGCGUGGGGAGCGAACAGG
rnacentral:rRNA from 1 species